rnacentral:rRNA from 1 species
AGAGUUUGAUCAUGGCUCAGAGCGAACGCUGGCGGCAGGCCUAACACAUGCAAGUCGAACGAGCCCUUCGGGGUUAGUGGCGGACGGGUGAGUAACACGUGGGAACGUGCCCUUUGGUUCGGAAUAACACAGGGAAACUUGUGCUAAUACCGGAUGAGCCCUACGGGGGAAAGAUUUAUCGCCGAAGGAGCGGCCCGCGUCGGAUUAGCUAGUUGGUGGGGUAAAGGCCCACCAAGGCUACGAUCCGUAGCUGGUCUGAGAGGAUGAUCAGCCACACUGGGACUGAGACACGGCCCAGACUCCUACGGGAGGCAGCAGUGGGGAAUCUUGCGCAAUGGGCGAAAGCCUGACGCAGCCAUGCCGCGUGGAUGAUGAAGGUCUUAGGAUUGUAAAAUCCUUUCACCGGGGACGAUAAUGACGGUACCCGGAGAAGAAGCCCCGGCUAACUUCGUGCCAGCAGCCGCGGUAAUACGAAGGGGGCUAGCGUUGCUCGGAAUUACUGGGCGUAAAGGGCGCGUAGGCGGGUCGUCAAGUUGGGGGUGAAAGCCCGGGGCUCAACCUCGGAAUUGCCUUCAAAACUGACGACCUAGAGUUUGGGAGAGGUGUGUGGAACUCCGAGUGUAGAGGUGAAAUUCGUAGAUAUUCGGAAGAACACCAGUGGCGAAGGCGACACACUGGCCCAAUACUGACGCUGAGGCGCGAAAGCGUGGGGAGCAAACAGGAUUAGAUACCCUGGUAGUCCACGCCGUAAACGAUGAGUGCUAGUUGUCGGCAUGCAUGCAUGUCGGUGACGCAGCUAACGCAUUAAGCACUCCGCCUGGGGAGUACGGUCGCAAGAUUAAAACUCAAAGGAAUUGACGG